rnacentral:rRNA from 1 species
UACGGAGGGGGCUAGCGUUGUUCGGAAUUACUGGGCGUAAAGCGCACGUAGGCGGCUUUGUAAGUUAGAGGUGAAAGCCCGGAGCUCAACUCCGGAACUGCCUUUAAGACUGCAUCGCUAGAAUUGUGGAGAGGUGAGUGGAAUUCCGAGUGUAGAGGUGAAAUUCGUAGAUAUUCGGAAGAACACCAGUGGCGAAGGCGGCUCACUGGCCCGGUACUGACGCUGAGGUGCGAAAGCGUGGGGAGCAAACAGG